rnacentral:rRNA from 1 species
AGAGGCAUACCAGGGGAACUGAAACAUCUAAGUACCCUGAGGAAGAGAAAACAAUAGUGAUUCCGUCAGUAGCGGCGAGCGAACGCGGAGAAGCCCAAACCAGAGAGCUUGCUCUUUGGGGUUGUGGGACGUCUCACAUGGAGUUACAAAGGAACCGGUUAAGCGAAGAGGUCUGGAAAGGCCCGCCAAAGAAGGUAAAAGCCCUGUAAUUGAAAGUUGGUUCCCUCCGAGACGGAUCCCGAGUAGUGCGGGGCACGUGAAACCCCGUAUGAAUCCGGCAGGACCAUCUGCCAAGGCUAAAUACUUCCUAGCGACCGAUAGUGAAGCAGUACCGUGAGGGAAAGGUGAAAAGCACCCCGGAAGGGGAGUGAAAUAGAACCUGAAACCGUGUGCUUACAAAAAGUCAGAGCCCGUUUUAGGGGUGAUGGCGUGCCUUUUGUAGAAUGAACCGGCGAGUUACGUUCCCGUGCAAGGUUAAGGUGAAGAGCCGGAGCCGCAGCGAAAGCGAGUCUGAAUAGGGCGACAUAGUACGUGGACGUAGACCCGAAACCGGGUGAUCUACCCCUGUCCAGGGUGAAGGUGCGGUAACACGCACUGGAGGCCCGAACCCACGCAUGUUGAAAAAUGCGGGGAUGAGGUGGGGGUAGCGGAGAAAUUCCAAUCGAACUCGGAGAUAGCUGGUUCUCCCCGAAAUAGCUUUAGGGCUAGCCUCGGAAAACAGAGUCGUGGAGGUAGAGCACUGAUUGGGUGCGGGGCCCGCAAGGGUUACCAAGCUCAGUCAAACUCCGAAUGCCAUAGACUUACUUCCGGGAGUCAGACAGUGAGUGCUAAGAUCCAUUGUCAAAAGGGAAACAGCCCAGACCAUCAGCUAAGGUCCCCAAGUGUGUGUUAAGUGGGAAAGGAUGUGGAGUUGCACAGACAACCAGGAUGUUGGCUUAGAAGCAGCCACCAUUGAAAGAGUGCGUAAUAGCUCACUGGUCGAGUGACUCUGCGCCGAAAAUGUAACGGGGCUAAACACACCACCGAAGCUAUGGCUUGAUGCUUUGCAUCAGGGGUAGGGGAGCGUUGUAUAAGGGUUGAAGGUGUACCGUAAGGAGCGCUGGACAUUAUACAAGUGAGAAUGCCG